UUACAAUUUGCCAGAAGAUCAUUAGAGAAGUCCGUUUAUGCCUUACUGCAGAUGAACGGAUCACAUGAUUGCAUUCCCAUUAUUUGGCACUGGGAUUGAGGUAUUAGGGAGGUGGAGAGUAUUACACUCAAAAUAAGUACAAGUCUUAGUAGGGCAGCAGUGGUCCUCAUGGACACUGGUAAGCCGAGUAGAGAUUCCCCCAAGAUGAUAAAGUUUUAAGGAAAGCCUUUUGGGCUAUGGGCCUGAUUUAUGUCUGAGUUACAUAACUUUCUUUCCUAGACACAUAAAAAUAUUAAGAGUAAUCAGUGACCUGGUGGGGAAGAGGUUAUUCUUCAUCAGACAUCAAAAGGUCCCCUUAGUUCUUGGGUUCCUUCUAUAACUUCCUUGAUGGUCCUUUUCCCUCCAGUCACUGGACAGUGCUUACUACUCCUUGAGCUUUUGGGACAUGAAUGUGACAUGUGUCUUGUCAUCGUAUCUCUCACAACAUCCAGCUGCUUGAAGGAGAUAGAAGGCAUGUGUGUGGAUAUAAUCAGGUGGUUGUUUUUUAAUCAGGUUGAUGGCAAGGACCAGGGGUGACUGCAAAGGAGUGAUUAUACCAGUGGGCCAGGAGACAUUAAGCUGGGUAGGCGGGAGAGUAAAAGCACGAGGAAGUACAGAGAAAGCCACUGGCAUACUCUGUUAAUUAGGUGGAAGAGAACCUUGCUCAACAAUGCUGGACAGCUGAGGUUUUAUUAUUUAAUACAGAACUUACACAUUCCAUCAUGAUUGUUUAAAAGUCAACUAACAAAAAAUGACAAGGUUUUGAAAGACAAGAAAAGACUGAGGAACUGUCCCAGAAUGGAGGCGAUUAAAGAGACAUGAUGACAAAGUGCAAUGUGGGAUCCUGGAGUGAAUCCUGGAACAGAAGGACCAUAGUAGAAAAACUGGUGAGACAAAGUUUGUAGUUUAGUUAAUAGUAUUGUACCAAGGUCAAUUCCUUAGUUGUGGUCAUUGGUAUGAAGGUUAUGUGAGAUAUUGACAUUAAGGCAAGCUGGGGGAAAGGUCUAUGGGAACCUUUUCUACAAUUUUCAAUUUUUUUCUCAAGGUUUAAAAUUACUUUAAAAUAAAAAGUUAAAAAGAAAAGCCAACUAGGAGCUUUCUAUAGACAAAGUAUAUCUUAAGAAUGUAGAUUUCUAGCCCCUGAUGGUGUCCAGUCUAGUAGGUGCCCAAUAAACACCAAAGUAAUUUACCCUUGCUUGCUCCCAUUUUGGUUAUUUGCAGUCUGUUUUGUGCCUUCCC
rnacentral:lncRNA from 1 species